GGUUAAGCGACUAAGCGUACACGGUGGAUGCCCUGGCAGUCAGAGGCGAUGAAGGACGUGCUAAUCUGCGAAAAGCGCCGGCGAGGUGAUAUGAACCUUUGACCCGGCGAUGUCCGAAUGGGGAAACCCAGUGCAAUCCGUUGCACUAUCGUUAACUGAAUACAUAGGUUAACGAGGCGAACCGGGGGAACUGAAACAUCUAAGUACCCCGAGGAAAAGAAAUCAACCGAGAUUCCCCCAGUAGCGGCGAGCGAACGGGGAGCAGCCCGGAGUCUGAAUCAGCUUGUGUGUUAGUGGAACGGUCUGGAAAGUCCGACGGUACAGGGUGAUAGUCCCGUACACGAAAGCACACUUGCUGUGAACUCGAAGAGUAGGGCGGGACACGUGGUAUCCUGUCUGAAUAUGGGGGGACCAUCCUCCAAGGCUAAAUACUCCUGACUGACCGAUAGUGAACCAGUACCGUGAGGGAAAGGCGAAAAGAACCCCGGCGAGGGGAGUGAAAAAGAACCUGAAACCGUGUACGUACAAGCAGUGGGAGCCUCUUUAUGGGGUGACUGCGUACCUUUUGUAUAAUGGGUCAGCGACUUAUAUUCUGUAGCAAGGUUAACCGUAUAGGGGAGCCGAAGGGAAACCGAGUCUUAACUGGGCGUUAAGUUGCAGGGUAUAGACCCGAAACCCGGUGAUCUAGCCAUGGGCAGGUUGAAGGUUGGGUAACACUAACUGGAGGACCGAACCGACUAAUGUUGAAAAAUUAGCGGAUGACCUGUGGCUGGGGGUGAAAGGCCAAUCAAACCGGGAGAUAGCUGGUUCUCCCCGAAAGCUAUUUAGGUAGCGCCUCGUGAACUCAUCUUCGGGGGUAGAGCACUGUUUCGGCUAGGGGGCCAUCCCGGCUUACCAACCCGAUGCAAACUACGAAUACCGAAGAAUGUUAUCACGGGAGACACACGGCGGGUGCUAACGUCCGUCGUGAAGAGGGAAACAACCCAGACCGCCAGCUAAGGUCCCAAAGUCAUGGUUAAGUGGGAAACGAUGUGGGAAGGCACAGACAGCCAGGAUGUUGGCUUAGAAGCAGCCAUCAUUUAAAGAAAGCGUAAUAGCUCACUGGUCGAGUCGGCCUGCGCGGAAGAUGUAACGGGGCUAAACCAUGCACCGAAGCUGCGGCAGCGAC
rnacentral:rRNA from 2 species